rnacentral:rRNA from 1 species
CUUAACACAUGCAAGUCGAGGGGAAACGACAUCGAAAGCUUGCUUUUGAUGGGCGUCGACCGGCGCACGGGUGAGUAACGCGUAUCCAACCUGCCCACCACUUGGGGAUAACCUUGCGAAAGUAAGACUAAUGCCCAAUGAUAUCUCUAGAAGACAUCUGAAAGAGAUUAAAGAUUUAUCGGUGAUGGAUGGGGAUGCGUCUGAUUAGCUUGUUGGCGGGGUAACGGCCCACCAAGGCGACGAUCAGUAGGGGUUCUGAGAGGAAGGUCCCCCACAUUGGAACUGAGACACGGUCCAAACUCCUACGGGAGGCAGCAGUGAGGAAUAUUGGUCAAUGGACGAGAGUCUGAACCAGCCAAGUAGCGUGCAGGAUGACGGCCCUAUGGGUUGUAAACUGCUUUUAUAAGGGAAUAAAGUGAGUCUCGUGAGACUUUUUGCAUGUACCUUAUGAAUAAGGACCGGCUAAUUCCGUGCCAGCAGCCGCGGUAAUACGGAAGGUCCGGGCGUUAUCCGGAUUUAUUGGGUUUAAAGGGAGCGUAGGCCGGAGAUUAAGCGUGUUGUGAAAUGUAGACGCUCAACGUCUGCACUGCAGCGCGAACUGGUUUCCUUGAGUACGCACAAAGUGGGCGGAAUUCGUGGUGUGGCGGUGAAAUGCUUAGAUAUCACGAAGAACUCCGAUUGCGAAGGCAGCUCACUGGAGCGCAACUGACGCUGAAGCUCGAAAGUGCGGGUAUCGAACAGGAUUAGAUACCCUGGUAGUCCGCACGGUAAACGAUGGAUGCCCGCUGUUGGUCUGAAUAGGUCAGCGGCC